rnacentral:rRNA from 1 species
UAAGACGAACCGCCCGAACGUUAUUCGGAAUCAUUGGGCUUAAAGGGUGCGUAGGCGGCGCUGUAAGUCGUGUGUGAAAUCUCUCGGCUUAACCGAGGAACUGCGCAUGAUACUGCAGUGCUUGAGGGAGACAGAGGUAAGCGGAACUGAUGGUGGAGCGGUGAAAUGCGUUGAUAUCAUCAGGAACACCGGUGGCGAAAGCGGCUUACUGGGUCUCUUCUGACGCUGAGGCACGAAAGCUAGGGGAGCAAACGGGAUUAGAUACCCCGGUAGUCCUAGCUGUAAACGAUGAGCACUGGAUCGAAGGACCCUCCAUAGUCUUUCGGUCGUAGCGAAAGUGUUAAGUGCUCCGCCUGGGGAGUAUGGUCGCAAGGCUG